GGACGGGUGAGUAACGCGUGAGUAACCUGCCUUUCAGAGGGGGAUAACGUUCUGAAAAGAACGCUAAUACCGCAUAACAUCAAUUUAUCGCAUGAUAGGUUGAUCAAAGGAGCAAUCCGCUGGAAGAUGGACUCGCGUCCGAUUAGCCAGUUGGCGGGGUAACGGCCCACCAAAGCGACGAUCGGUAGCCGGACUGAGAGGUUGAACGGCCACAUUGGGACUGAGACACGGCCCAGACUCCUACGGGAGGCAGCAUG
rnacentral:rRNA from 1 species